CCUACGGGAGGCAGCAGUGAGGAAUAUUGGUCAAUGGACGAGAGUCUGAACCAGCCAAGUAGCGUGAAGGAUGACUGCCCUAUGGGUUGUAAACUUCUUUUAUAUGGGAAUAAAACGUUCCACGUGUGGGAUUUUGUAUGUACCAUAUGAAUAAGGAUCGGCUAACUCCGUGCCAGCAGCCGCGGUAAUACGGAGGAUCCGAGCGUUAUCCGGAUUUAUUGGGUUUAAAGGGAGCGUAGGUGGAUUGUUAAGUCAGUUGUGAAAGUUUGCGGCUCAACCGUAAAAUUGCAGUUGAAACUGGCAGUCUUGAGUACAGUAGAGGUGGGCGGAAUUCGUGGUGUAGCGGUGAAAUGCUGAGAUAUCACGAAGAACUCCGAGUGCGAAGGCAGUUCACUGGACUGCAACUGACACUGAGGCUCGAAAGUGUGGGUAUCAAACAGGAUUAGAUACCCUAGUAGUC
rnacentral:rRNA from 1 species